rnacentral:tRNA from 1 species
GUCCCUGUAGCGCAAUGGAUAGCGUGUUGGACUUCUAAGGCAAAGGUCGUGGGUUCGAAUCCCACCUGGGAUU